rnacentral:pre_miRNA from 1 species
GGGGGGAGGCCAGAUCCUGGGCUGUGUCCCAGCGCCCUGUGCUCCGGGGCCUGCGCUGUUGGAUUCACGGUCCCGCCCUGCAGCCCCCU